rnacentral:rRNA from 1 species
AUUGAACGCUGGCGGCAUGCCUUACACAUGCAAGUCGAACGGUAACAGGUCUUCGGAUGCUGACGAGUGGCGAACGGGUGAGUAAUACAUCGGAACGUGCCUAGUAGUGGGGGAUAACUACUCGAAAGAGUGGCUAAUACCGCAUGAGAUCUACGGAUGAAAGUAGGGGAUCGCAAGACCUUGUGCUACUAGAGCGGCCGAUGGCAGAUUAGGUAGUUGGUGGGAUAAAAGCUUACCAAGCCGACGAUCUGUAGCUGGUCUGAGAGGACGAUCAGCCACGCUGGGACUGAGACACGGCCCAGACUCCUACGGGAGGCAGCAGUGGGGAAUUUUGGACAAUGGGCGCAAGCCUGGUCCAGCAAUGCCGCGUGCAGGAUGAAGGCCUUCGGGUUGUAAACUGCUUUUGUACGGAACGAAAAGCCCUGGGUUAAUACCCUGGGGUCAUGACGGUACCGUAAGAAUAAGCACCGGCUAACUACGUGCCAGCCGCCGCGGUAA